rnacentral:rRNA from 1 species
UACGUAGGGUGCAAGCGUUAAUCGGAAUCACUGGGCGUAAAGGGUGCGUAGGCGGGUCUUUAAGUCAGGGGUGAAAUCCUGGAGCUCAACUCCAGAACUGCCUUUGAUACUGAAGAUCCUGAGUUCGGGAGAGGUGAGUGGAACUGCGAGUGUAGAGGUGAAAUUCGUAGAUAUUCGCAAGAACACCAGUGGCGAAGGCGGCUCACUGGCCCGGUACUGACGCUGAGGUGCGAAAGCGUGGGGAGCAAACAGG